GUGCCUCAUGUUAUUGUCUGACAUAAGGCAAAGCUAUGUGAACUAUCUUUCCCAGCUACUCAGGAAGCUAAGGUGGGAGGAUCACUUGAGCCUAGGAGUUCAAGACCAGACUAGGUAACAUAACGAACCUCAACUCUAAACAACAAAAAAGGUAAGCCAUUUUUAAUUUUUUAAAUGAUAUUUGAGAUCAUUUUAUACAAUCCUAUCAUUUAAAUGACUUCAAUUA
ensembl:lncRNA